UAUGCCUUUCUCUCACUUACUGAUUCUCUAUUGCCUUUUCUUUACAUAUGAUCAUUGUUUGUGUAUGUUCCACUAUGUAUUUUUGUUUCUGCUGGUACAAAAACUGCGAGUGUUGCCUACAGUUCAUGUGAUGGUCCAUAAUUUUUCUUGCCAUUCAGAGAUGAUGAGUUUUUUCAUGUAGUCUGUUUAGUUUUUGUGGUUGUCUAAUUGCAAUGCAUUCCCCCCAAUGAUUCAGAUCUUAGAGAGCUUACAGAUCUUAGAGAGCUUAGACGCCCUGUUGCGGCAUGGGUAGCUAAUAGAUAGUGUUAAACGGGAAGUUUGCUACGGGGCUUUCCAUUGUAAGAAGAGUUUUUGGUGCUAUUUAUUUUCGGCACAUGCUUCUUCAGGUUUUGUAGUUUAUAUGCAAGCAAACGACGCGGGCGGACAAUGCGUGAUCACUGGUGUGGUGCACAGGUCAUCUGUUUGUGCACACCCCCCCCCCCCCAGGCCAUACGGGCUUCUCCAGGGCGGUUACAGAGAAGUAUGAGGCGAUCCUAGCCUUGUAUUUGAGGCGAACGGGGUUUUGACCGAGGGGCGCACUUAGAAGUGGACAUGGCCACGCGCGCAACUGAUUAUAAAGCAAUAAAAAAAAAUGCUAUUUCAAAGUUUCAGAAAUUUGAAAUAAGCACACAUGUAUAUAUUAUGUUGAUACUUGUGAAGAUUUUCAAGGAAAAUUACGACCA